UUAAGCGACUAAGCGUACACGGUGGAUGCCCUGGCAGUCAGAGGCGAUGAAGGACGUGCUAAUCUGCGAUAAGCGCCGGUAAGGUGAUAUGAACCGUUAUAACCGGCGAUUUCCGAAUGGGGAAACCCAGUGUGAUUCGUCACACUAUCAUUAACUGAAUCCAUAGGUUAAUGAGGCGAACCGGGGGAACUGAAACAUCUAAGUACCCCGAGGAAAAGAAAUCAACCGAGAUUCCCCCAGUAGCGGCGAGCGAACGGGAGGAGCCCAGAGCCUGAAUCAGCAUGUGUGUUAGUGGAAGCGUCUGGAAAGGCGCGCGAUACAGGGUGACAGCCCCGUACACAAAAGCGCAUGUGUUGUGAGCUCGAUGAGUAAGGCGGGACACGUGGUAUCCUGUCUGAAUAUGGGGGGACCAUCCUCCAAGGCUAAAUACUCCUGACUGACCGAUAGUGAACCAGUACCGUGAGGGAAAGGCGAAAAGAACCCCGGCGAGGGGAGUGAAAAAGAACCUGAAACCGUGUACGUACAAGCAGUGGGAGCACAGGUUUACCUGUGUGACUGCGUACCUUUUGUAUAAUGGGUCAGCGACUUAUAUUCUGUAGCAAGGUUAACCGUAUAGGGGAGCCGGAGGGAAACCGAGUCUUAAUUGGGCGUUAAGUUGCAGGGUAUAGACCCGAAACCCGGUGAUCUAGCCAUGGGCAGGUUGAAGGUUGGGUAACACUAACUGGAGGACCGAACCGACUAAUGUUGAAAAAUUAGCGGAUGACCUGUGGCUGGGGGUGAAAGGCCAAUCAAACCGGGAGAUAGCUGGUUCUCCCCGAAAGCUAUUUAGGUAGCGCCUCGUGAAUUCAUCUCCGGGGGUAGAGCACUGUUUCGGCUAGGGGGCCAUCCCGGCUUACCAACCCGAUGCAAACUGCGAAUACCGGAGAAUGUUAUCACGGGAGACACACGGCGGGUGCUAACGUCCGUCGUGAAGAGGGAAACAACCCAGACCGCCAGCUAAGGUCCCAAAGUCAUGGUUAAGUGGGAAACGAUGUGGGAAGGCCCAGACAGCCAGGAUGUUGGCUUAGAAGCAGCCAUCAUUUAAAGAAAGCGUAAUAGCUCACUGGUCGAGUCGGCCUGCGCGGAAGAUGUAACGGGGCUAAACCAUGCACCGAAGCUGCGGCAGCGAACGUAUCACUUAAAGCGAUUCAGCGGGUUACGAUUGACGGAGCGAAGCGACGUCAAAGCGUAUACAAAGUCGAGUCGGUUUAAGGAUACGUUCGUUGGGUAGGGGAGCGUUCUGUAAGCCUGCGAAGGUGGCCUGUGAGGGUUGCUGGAGGUAUCAGAAGUGCGAAUGCUGACAUAAGUAACGAUAAAGCGGGUGAAAAGCCCGCUCGCCGGAAGACCAAGGGUUCCUGUCCAACGUUAAUCGGGGCAGGGUGAGUCGACCCCUAAGGCGAGGCCGAAAGGCGUAGUCGAUGGGAAACAGGUUAAUAUUCCUGUACUUGGUGUUACUGCGAAGGGGGGACGGAGAAGGCUAUGUUGGCCGGGCGACGGUUGUCCCGGUUUAAGCGUGUAGGUGUGUGUUCCAGGUAAAUCCGGUUCACUUUAACACUGAGGCGUGACGACGAGGCACUACGGUGCUGAAGCAACAAAUGCCCUGCUUCCAGGAAAAGCCUCUAAGCAUCAGGUAACAUCAAAUCGUACCCCAAACCGACACAGGUGGUCAGGUAGAGAAUACCAAGGCGCUUGAGAGAACUCGGGUGAAGGAACUAGGCAAAAUGGUGCCGUAACUUCGGGAGAAGGCACGCUGACACGUAGGUGAAGUGAUUUACUCACGGAGCUGAAGUCAGUCGAAGAUACCAGCUGGCUGCAACUGUUUAUUAAAAAACACAGCACUGUGCAAACACGAAAGUGGACGUAUACGGUGUGACGCCUGCCCGGUGCCGGAAGGUUAAUUGAUGGGGUCAGCGCAAGCGAAGCUCCUGAUCGAAGCCCCGGUAAACGGCGGCCGUAACUAUAACGGUCCUAAGGUAGCGAAAUUCCUUGUCGGGUAAGUUCCGACCUGCACGAAUGGCGUAAUGAUGGCCAGGCUGUCUCCACCCGAGACUCAGUGAAAUUGAACUCGCUGUGAAGAUGCAGUGUACCCGCGGCAAGACGGAAAGACCCCGUGAACCUUUACUAUAGCUUGACACUGAACAUUGAGCCUUGAUGUGUAGGAUAGGUGGGAGGCUUUGAAGUGUGGACGCCAGUCUGCAUGGAGCCGACCUUGAAAUACCACCCUUUAAUGUUUGAUGUUCUAACGUGGACCCGUAAUCCGGGUUGCGGACAGUGUCUGGUGGGUAGUUUGACUGGGGCGGUCUCCUCCUAAAGAGUAACGGAGGAGCACGAAGGUUGGCUAAUCCUGGUCGGACAUCAGGAGGUUAGUGCAAUGGCAUAAGCCAGCUUGACUGCGAGCGUGACGGCGCGAGCAGGUGCGAAAGCAGGUCAUAGUGAUCCGGUGGUUCUGAAUGGAAGGGCCAUCGCUCAACGGAUAAAAGGUACUCCGGGGAUAACAGGCUGAUACCGCCCAAGAGUUCAUAUCGACGGCGGUGUUUGGCACCUCGAUGUCGGCUCAUCACAUCCUGGGGCUGAAGUAGGUCCCAAGGGUAUGGCUGUUCGCCAUUUAAAGUGGUACGCGAGCUGGGUUUAGAACGUCGUGAGACAGUUCGGUCCCUAUCUGCCGUGGGCGCUGGAGAACUGAGGGGGGCUGCUCCUAGUACGAGAGGACCGGAGUGGACGCAUCACUGGUGUUCGGGUUGUCAUGCCAAUGGCACUGCCCGGUAGCUAAAUGCGGAAGAGAUAAGUGCUGAAAGCAUCUAAGCACGAAACUUGCCCCGAGAUGAGUUCUCCCUGAGACUUAGAGUCUCCUGAAGGAACGUUGAAGACGACGACGUUGAUAGGCCGGGUGUGUAAGCGCAGCGAUGCGUUGAGCUAACCGGUACUAAUGAACCGUGAGGCUUAACCUU
rnacentral:rRNA from 1 species